AACUUUCCAGUUCUGCGUUCAUGUCCCCUGCAGCUUGACUUUAGGGGAAAUCGAGCAACAAGGGACAUGAAUGCAGAACUGGAAAGAU
rfam:Medicago truncatula strain A17 chromosome 2, whole genome shotgun sequence.